GCCUGCUAAAGAGUAACGGAGGUGCACAGGGUCUUCUAUUUUCAUACAAAUGAAAUAUUAAAGUUAAUAAAUGUAAAGGCUAAAUAAUAAGAAGGCUUGAUUGUGAGAGUAACUACUUAAACAAGGAUGAAAGUCUGUCUUAGUGAUCCGACAACUCUAAGUGGUAGGAUGAGGCGAUGAUAC
rnacentral:ncRNA from 1 species